rnacentral:tRNA from 1 species
GACAGCAUGACAUAGUGGUUUGAGUGUUGGAUUACAACUAUGGAGACCAGGGUUCGAUUCCCCGCUCAGCCA